UUCAAAAGGAAAACGUUUCUCAAAGGAAACAUUGAAGCCCCCCACCAACAGCAGCUACAUCCGCAACAACUACAAAAACAACAUAUUUCAAGACAACAAAAUAUGAAAAUUUUUAACAAAAAAAGCAAUGACUCCAUUGACCAACAACAAGAAGAAAACCAGCAACACAUUUUCAUCAAAAUUAUUCGACAGAGACGGGUAGAACACUUUUUCGACUAUGAUUUUGUGAAAGAUUUCAGAAAAUGCUUGGUGAAACCUAAUCUCCUUACUCUAGCACCAAGCGAAAAAGGUCACAUCACACAAAAAAAUUGUGGUUUAUAUACUGCUUAACAUGAAGGCUAAAAGGAUUAAAACUCUGACCCCAGCACAGGCUGAAAAAUACCUGAAAAUGCCUGAAAGAUGUCUGGAGUUUGGAUUUCCAGUAGCAAUGUGCCAUAGUGAAGAAACUAGAAAAAAAUGGCUUUACACACAUGCUCUUCAGAACAUACUUUAAUUUCAUCCUACAUGGAAGACGAGUGAAUAAAGUUACAUUUACGAAUAUGACAGCAUGACUUAACAUCCAGUAUUUCGGGAUGACACUGGAUGAAUAUGGUUAUAUAUUCAUCAUGAAAUCCACGCCGAACGAAAACCGGUCAAUGAUCAGGAUGGAGGUGGAAAUACUGCUCACAGUAGAACUUUAACAAUAUCUCUGAUAUCGUUUACAUAGAAGGCUAGAGCCCAGAAAAGUGGUGAUAGAGGGGACAAAGGCAAAAUGUUAUGCCUGUGAAAUAACCACCCAUUUAAAAGGCUUUCUGCCACCAGCUAAAGAAACCUAAAUGACCACUGUGGUUAGCACCAAAUUUACACCAGCACAUAUAGAUCAAUUGAGGACACCUACACGAAGAUCCGUGUAACGACCGCAUCCAUAGUGAAGAUAUCCUUGCCACUCUCCUUUAACAGGGCAAGCAAAGUAGUUUUCCUUUGUCCUGGUCAGCAACUUCGGAUGAGGGCGACGCGAUUACAUCGACCACAGUACGCAAACGGUAAUUAUUUCAUCGACCCUGAAAGCAUGAAAAGUAAAGUCGAUCUUAGCAGAAUUUGAAUCCAGAAUAUGAAGACGGACGAAAUGCCGCUUUGAACGUAAUUAAAGAUCAAUUACUAGAUCAAUGAUUUUCCGAUUGCAAAAAGUACCGUCCAUCGUUCCGUUCAGGAUUUCAUAGAAAAAUACAGGAACAGCAUUUCCUUAUUUAAAGAUGCGAUGUGGAGGCUAUUGGCUUUUCACCAAGAAAACAACUAGCUAGAGGUGAAACGAGAUAAGAUAUAUGAUGAUGGAUAGAUACAUGAAUAACAAAUACUUUCUUAAAGAUCAAUUGAAACAGGGAUGCAAAAUAGUUGAGUACCUAUAAGUCUAUAUGUUU